AGGACUUCCUUGAUUGUUUGCCU
rnacentral:siRNA from 1 species